rnacentral:rRNA from 1 species
GAUGAACGCUGGCGGCGUGCCUAAUACAUGCCAGUCGAGCGAACAGACGAGGAGCUUGCUCCUCUGACGUUAGCGGCGGACGGGUGAGUAACACGUGGAUAACCUACCUAUAAGACUGGGAUAACUUCGGGAAACCGGAGCUAAUACCGGAUAAUAUAUUGAACCGCAUGGUUCAAUAGUGAAAGACGGUUUUGCUUUCACUUAUAGAUGGAUCCGCGCCGCAUUAGCUAGUUGGUAAGGUAACGGCUUACCAAGGCAACGAUGCGUAGCCGACCUGAGAGGGUGAUCGGCCACACUGGAACUGAGACACGGUCCAGACGCCUACGGGAGGCAGCAGUAGGGAAUCUUCCGCAAUGGGCGAAAGCCUGACGGAGCAACGCCGCGUGAGUGAUGAAGGUCUUCGGAUCGUAAAACUCUGUUAUUAGGGAAGAACAAAUGUGUAAGUAACUAUGCACGUCUUGACGGUACCUAAUCAGAAAGCCACGGCUAACUACGUG